rnacentral:rRNA from 1 species
UCGACUACAUGAAGCUGGAAUCGCUAGUAAUCGCGAAUCAGAAUGUCGCGGUGAAUACGUUCCCGGGUCUUGUACACACCGCCCGUCACACCAUGGGAGUCGGAAAUGCCCGAAGCCGGUGACUCAACCGCAAGGAGAGAGCCGUCGAAGGCAGGUCUGAUAACUGGGGUGAAGUCGUAACAAGGUACC